rfam:TPA: Bos taurus chromosome 7, whole genome shotgun sequence.
CUAGUGGAUUUAUUAAAAUCCACUGAACAAAAGGCAGCAAUUGGUGG